ACCCUCAUCAACCAAGGCAGGUUCUCGGGUCUUUUAUGGGAGCAGGGCUUUCUUCUGAGCUCUUUUGUGCUGCUGUGUCUGCUAGUUCAGAGGGAAAAUUUACAGGUGACCCAGUAGACUUCUGUUUACCAUCAAGACUAAUGCUAAUAGUGAACUGUAACAAUAAUGUAUGAUGUAGAGCGUGGUGUUGUUUCCUCUCCUUUUUUUUCCUUCCAUGUAUGUUGUUGAGUCAAGUAAUCAUGUAUCCUGUGCGGUUCUCAGCUUUGUUUCUAUACCUGCUGUGUUUGCAGUUUGUAUACAUGAAUAUGUCUUUUCUUUCUGGCUUAUUUUUGUCUGUUAUGCUCAUGUUCAAAGUAGCAAAACUGUUAUGCUCAUUUUCAAAGAAGCAAAUCUUGAAUUGUUGGUGGAAUCAUGAAAUUUCUUAAAACUAAUUAUCUGCCAAUGAUCAAUGUAAAUG
rnacentral:lncRNA from 1 species